UUUUUAUCAACCAAAAACAAAUGUGGCUAUGUACCGGGCGAAAUUUAAAGAUAGGAAGCAGGAAGAAACAGAGUCCAUUAAAGAUUAUAUAAUGGCAUUGAGAAAAAUGACAAGGGACUGUGCUUUUACAGAUAUGAAUGAACAACUGAAAGAAAGAUUGCUAAAUGGAGUCCAUAAUGAAACAAUAAGAUAUGAGCUAUUGAAAAUAGCAGAUAAAUCACUGGAUGAAUUGAUAACAACAGCGGAGACUGCAGAAAUGGCUUACAGAUUAGCACACAAGGAAAAUCCCAAAUCAGUGGAAAUGUUUGCAGUAAGGACGCAAAAUAAACCUUACUAUAAAAAAUCUACAGGAAAUAAUCAAGAUUCAAGUGGUUCUAAGUGUUUUUGUUGUGGCAAAAUAGGUCACAUGCGUUCAGAGUGUUCAUUGAGAUACAAAUUCUGUAGUGAAUGUGGACAAAAAGGUCAUAUUUUCAGGGUUUGUUCCAGGAAAAAUACAAACAUUAAAACUGUUAUAGUUGAAAAUGAAACUGACAAACAGGAAGAAGUUCAUGAUACGAGUUUUGAUAUUGAAAGUGAUAAAUUCCAAGUAUUAAGUAUGCGGACCCGGGAUAAGGACUGGAAGAAGUGAUGGUCUAUAUCGAUAACAUCUAUAUAGCGGGGAAAACUUUAGAAGAAACCAACCAGAGACUAAGAUUAGUAUUGGAAUGAAUUGCAGAAGUGGAAUUAAAACUAAAAAUUAAUAAGUGUAAGUUUUUUACACAGCAUUUGGAGGUGUUUGGUUAUCAUGUGUCAAAAGAAGGUAUUCAAGUUAUUAAGGACAAUAUAGAACCUUUAUUGAAAUCACCCAAACCUGAUAGUUUAAAAAUGUUACGUUCAUUCUUGGGAAAAAUUAACUAUUAUAAUAGAUUCUUGAAAAACAUGGCAGUAAUUUUAAAACCAUUGUAUGAC